rnacentral:rRNA from 1 species
UACGAAGGGGGCUAGCGUUACUCGGAUUGACUGGGCGUAAAGGGCGCGUAGGCGGUUUUGUACAGUCAGACGUGAAAUUCCUGGGCUCAACCUGGGGGCUGCGUUUGAUACGUGCAGACUUGAGUUCGGAAGAGGGUCGUGGAAUUCCCAGUGUAGAGGUGAAAUUCGUAGAUAUUGGGAAGAACACCGGUGGCGAAGGCAGCUCUCUGGGACGGUACUGACGCUGAGACGCGAAAGCGUGGGGAGCGAACAGG